rnacentral:tRNA from 1 species
AUAAACAUUUUUAAUGCUUUUUAAAAAGUUAGAAGCUUUUUUUUACAAUAUUUCUUU